GGGAGUGUCGUUCAAUGGCAGGACCGUGCUCUCCAAAAGCACUAAUUCCCGUUCGAGUCGGGACACUCCCG
rnacentral:tRNA from 1 species